rnacentral:lncRNA from 1 species
UUUUUUUUUCCUUUGUGUCGUAAGACGCGUUUUCAUGAACUCUCUAUACAGUGAAUGUAACUUUCUAAAUUUUUCUCGAGAAUCGGGAAAUGAAAAGAGAACCGGUGUAUCGAGAAAUUCUGGAUCCAGAUUGGGAUACUUCAAUUCAGAGAAGUGAUUAAGAAGAAGAAGAAGAAAAAAAAAAGAAUUGAUUCUUGGCCAUGUUUAUCGACCAAUUAACUGCUUGCAUAUUCUUAUUGGUAUUGAAAUUAUAUUAAAAUAAAUGGAAUAUUAAAAUAUUGAAGUCACAGUUGAAAAUCAAUAACUGCUCAAUAUAAUCAAUGUAAUAGUAACAAUACUAUUCAAUUGUAUUCUCCCAAAUGAACCACGCAGAAUGAGGAAUAGAAAAUUGAAAUCUUCAUACAUAUUUCAAAUUACUUUGUGUAAUUAUGAACACGUAGGUACUAUGAACAAAGCAAUGAGAACCGAUAAUAGAAAAAUCUAAUAGGUGAUCCACUUGAAGCCAUUUGGCAGAAGUCGACAAUAAAUUAUGUAUGCGUGAAAAUUCAUGUGCUAUAUAUAGUGAUCGGUGAAAUUGAUCCUACAAUAUAUAUGUAGUGAAAGAUUGAAAUAAAAAAGAUUUAGCCUGACAUUAUUUGAAUAGAAAAGCACACGUAGCUGAUCCUUAAUUACCAAUUUUUAAAUAUAUAUCCACUUUUUUGUAUUGUACAAAAUUUCAAUUAUUUAUAUUAGAAAUAUUCGAAUAAUUGCAAUCAUUGGAAAUAAAAAAUAAAACAGAAUAAAAAUAUAUUUUUUAUAUUUAAAUGAUCCCAAUAAAUACAAGUUUCAACAUCAUUUUUAUUCACCUUUUUCAUCUCAAACUUUUCGAUUAGACAGAUAAUAAAACAUAUAUCCCAAUAAAUUAUCAUUCCCAUCCCAGAAAAUAUGUUUGAAUAUGAUCGAAGCCAGCUAACAAUGAAUAAAAUAUCGAAUGAAAUACGAGGGGGACAGUUAGGAGGAGAGAAUCGAGUAAAGAUGGAUCAUCAUCUCCUAUUACCUUGUGUCUAAAUACGCAAUUUCACAGAGUGGAGAGGGAUGUAGAUUACUGACUGGUAUAAAUGCAUGAUUAUCCUACGAGAGGAGCACGGUCUCGUGCAAUAAUGGGAGGUGUGAACGAUCGUAAGAUGUCGUUUUCUUCAUUCACUUGUAUAUAUAUAUAUAUACAUAUAUACCGAUGUAUCCCAAAUACACACGUGUCCUCCACGUAUUAAUACGUGUGUCGAGCUAUGAAUGGGAAUGGGUUAAAAGCGCAUUCACUCACCAUGAACGUAUAUACUAAAUACUGUAAGCUUCUCUAGUAUAUAUCGAGUUUACGAGGUAUUGUUCGUAAUGCUUCUAUUUGAAAUGCAAGUAGACUGAAUUACAAUUGAUUUCUUUUUCUUUUUUUUUCCGAUUUUACAAAAUUCACAAUUUCGUUUCUUUAUUAUUGAUUUUAUAAAAAAAAUUGAACUUUUCAUAAGAUUCUCUUACGUGAUUCGACGAGUAGAAAAUUCUUUACAUAAAAAUUUUAAUUUAAUAAAAUAUAAAUUUUCCUCCAUAGAUAAUGCUACAAGAAAUUAUUAAUGUAAAAAUUAAUUUAAUUUCUCAAUUUGUGAUUCAUUAUGUGAUUCAUAAUGAUUUAACCUAUCAUUAAAAAAAAAA